rnacentral:rRNA from 1 species
UAAGGAAUUUUGCGCAAUGGGAGCAAUCCUGACGCAGCAACGCCGCGUGGGUGAUGAAGGCCUUCGGGUCGUAAAGCCCUUUCAGGUGGGAAGAAUGUCCCGGGACUGCACUGGUUCCGGGAGUUACAGUACCACCAAAGGAAGCACCGGCUAACUCCGUGCCAGCAGCCGCGGUAAUACGGAGGGUGCAAGCGUUAUUCGGAAUUACUGGGCGUAAAGGGCGUGUAGGCGGGAGGGCAAGUCCGCUGUGAAAUCCCCGGGCUUAACCCCGGAAGUGCAUUGGAGACUGUUCUGCUGGAGUUUUGGAGAGGAAGGGGGAAUUCCCGGUGUAGAGGUGAAAUUCGUAGAGAUCGGGAGGAAGAGCAGUGGCGAAGGCGGCGCUCUGGAACGUAACUGACGCUGAGACGCGAAAGCGUGGGGAGCAAACA